AUCCCUUGAUGUGAUAUCCAUUCUUAAAAGUCGGGAAUUCAAGAUCAUCCCUAGAUAGUGAUCUUAGGUUGAAAUAUAAGGACAAAAAUAUCUUUUAGUUUAAUAAAAUAUUUGAUAUAUCAAUAUAUCAUUAAUAUAUUAUAUUAAUAUUAUAUAUAUGAUAUUAUAUUAUAUUAUAAUAUAUUAUUAAUCAUAUCUAUAUAAUAAUAAUAAAGCAAUACAUCGGUAUUAGGGGUAGC
rnacentral:lncRNA from 1 species